rnacentral:ncRNA from 1 species
UUAAGUAGAGGUUGCGCCGGCCAAGAGUCCGCGACAGGAGGGGGAGCCCGAUCAUCGUCGCCAAAAGGGGUCGGCGCCGAAGCGUCUGCACCGUCGGGGGCGGGCGCUGGGGGCGGCCCGAACAGGGUCGUCACUGCCAUAGUCUGAGCAAACUAUGGAGCGCUACUGA